AUGUUGCCAUAACAACAGAAUAUGUGUGUGUGUUUAGUAGAAAGACAAUCCUUUUUUUUUCCAGUCAAUUUUUUCUUUGAUCUAUAGAACUCGCUUCUUUUCUCUGAAGUUUUCACAAUACAGCAUGAUAGAAGGAGCACAGAGUGCCAGAGGCAGGGAACUCCUAUGCUUCACCAGUGACUCAUAAGAAAACUUAAUAGAAGGUCUCUGCUGCCCACUGGCCCUGCAGUACCUGAUCGAUGUGGUCCCAAAGUAAAGUAGGCUAACCUUCAUUGAACCAAGCACUUCAGAGGCAUGGGAAGAAGUAUGGGAGAAGGAGUCCUUGUACUCUGGCAAUGAGGAAAGGGCGGAGCAAGAAGGCCGAAUAGGAACAGCUCCAGUCUCCAACUCCCAGCGCGAGCCACACAGAAGACCGGUGAUUUCUGCAUUUUCAACUGAGGAAAACAUUAACAGUGCAAGACACAGCAAGAAUCACAGAGCCAUGGAUGGACGAUCCUUUUGAGGACAAUAGAGGGGGAAUUUGGUUUGAUUUUCAGCAAACCUUCAGAAGGCAAAAGGGAAAGUUUUCCCAUGGGCCAACAUGGAUUGUUUCUGUAAUAGUCUGUUCAGGCUUCUACAACAAGAUGUCACAGGCUGGGUGACCUAAACCAUGAGUCCUCAAACUCCGGCCAUGGAUCGGUAUGGGUCAGUGGCCUGUUAGGAAUCAGGCAGGCCACGCAGCAGGAGCUCAUUCUAGGGGAAGCCAGCUGCCAUAUUGAGAAAACAGUCCUAUGGAAAGGGCCAUGGAACAAAGAACUGACUUCUGCCAACAACCUCAUGAGUGAAACUAGAAGUGGUUCUUCUAGUCCUGGUCAAGUCUUAUAGCCUGUGGCUCCAACUGAUAGUGACUGCAACUUCAUAAGAGACACUGAACCAGACCACCCAAUAAGACACUCCAGAUUCCAGACUCUCAGAAGUUGUGUGAAAUAAUCACCCCCAGUUGUUUUAAGCUGCUAAGUUUUGGGAUAGUGUGUUAGAUAGCAAUAAAUUGCCAAUACAACAUCCAAGAAAUAAAUUACUAUGAUAAAUAAA